rnacentral:rRNA from 1 species
CCAAUAGCGUAUAUUAAAGUUGUUGCAGUUAAAAAGCUCGUAGUUGAAUUUCGGGAUCAGUACGCUGGUCGUGCCUUCGGUAUGCACUGGUUUCACUGAUUCCUCCCUUCUGAAGAACCGUAAUGCCAUUCAGUUGGUGUGGCGGGGAAUCAGGAUUGUUACUUUGAAAAAAUUAGAGUGUUUAAAGCAGGCUCGCGCUUGAAUACAUUAGCAUGGAAUAAUGAAAUAGGACGUUUGAUCCUAUUUUGUUGGUUUCUAGGAUUGACGUAAUGAUUAAUAGGGAUAGUUGGGGGCAUUAGUAUUCAAUUGUCAGAGGUGAAAUUCUUGGAUUUAUUGAAGACUAACUACUGCGAAAGCAUUUGCCAAGGAUGUUUUCAUUAAUCAAGAACGAAAGUUAGGGGAUCGAAGACGAUCAGAUACCGUCGUAGUCUUAACCAUAAACUAUGCCGACUAGGGAUCGGAUGAUGUUAAUUUUUUAAUGACUCAUUCGGCGCCUUACGGGAAACCAAAGUGUUUGGNUUC